CCUACGGGAGGCAGCAGUGAGGAAUAUUGGUCAAUGGACGAGAGUCUGAACCAGCCAAGUAGCGUGAAGGAUGACUGCCCUAUGGGUUGUAAACUUCUUUUAUAUGGGAAUAAAAUGUUCCACGUGUGGGAUUUUGUAUGUACCAUAUGAAUAAGGAUCGGCUAACUCCGUGCCAGCAGCCGCGGUAAUACGGAGGAUCCGAGCAUUAUCCGGAUUUAUUGGGUUUAAAGGGAGCGUAGGUGGAUUGUUAAGUCAGUUGUGAAAGUUUGGGGCUCAACCGUAGAAUUGCAGUUGAAACUGGCAGUCUUGAGUACAGUAGAGGUGAGCGGAAGUCGUGGUGUAGCGGUGAAAUGCUUAGAUAUCACGAAGAACUCCGAUUGCGAAGGCAGUUCACUGGACUGCAACUGACGCUGAGGCUCGAAAGUGUGGGUAUCAAACAGGAUUAGAUACCCUUGUAGUC
rnacentral:rRNA from 1 species